rnacentral:rRNA from 1 species
GACGAACGCUGGCGGCGUGCUUAACACAUGCAAGUCGAACGGAAAGGCCCUGCUUUUGGGGGGUGCUCGAGUGGCGAACGGGUGAGUAACACGUGAGUAACCUGCCUUUGACUUUGGGAUAACUUCAGGAAACUGGGGCUAAUACCUGAUAGGAGCUCCUGCUGCAUGGUGGGGGUUGGAAAGUUUCGGCGGUUGGGGAUGGACUCGCGGUUUAUCAGCUUGUGGGUGGGGUAGUGGCUUACCAAGGCCUUGACGGGUAGCCGGCAUGAGAGGGUGACCGGCCACAUUAGGACUGAGCUACGGCCCAGACUCCUACGGGAGGCAGCAGUGGGGAAUAUUGCAUAAUGGGCGGAAGCCUGCUGCAGCACCGCCGCGUGCGGGAUGACGGCCUUCGGGUUGUAAACCGCUUUCGCCUGUGACGAAGCGUUAGUGACGGUAAUGGGUAAAGAAGCACCGGCUAACUACGUG